rnacentral:rRNA from 1 species
AGAGAACGCUGGCGGUAGGCCUAACACAUGCCAGUCGAACGGCAGCACAGUAAGAGCUUGCUCUUACGGGUGGCGAGUGGCGGACGGGUGAGGAAUACAUCGGAAUCUACUUUUUCGUGGGGGAUAACGUAGGGAAACUUACGCUAAUACCGCAUACGACCUACGGGUGAAAGCAGGGGAUCUUCGGACCUUGCGCGAUUGAAUGAGCCGAUGUCGGAUUAGCUAGUUGGCGGGGUAAAGGCCCACCAAGGCGACGAUCCGUAGCUGGUCUGAGAGGAUGAUCAGCCACACUGGAACUGAGACACGGUCCAGACUCCUACGGGAGGCAGCAGUGGGGAAUAUUGGACAAUGGGCGCAAGCCUGAUCCAGCCAUACCGCGUGGGUGAAGAAGGCCUUCGGGUUGUAAAGCCCUUUUGUUGGGAAAGAAAAGCAGCAGGUUAAUACCCCGCUGUUCUGACGGUACCCAAAGAAUAAGCACCGGCUAACUUCGUG